rnacentral:lncRNA from 1 species
GGAGCGGGUGUUUACCCGGGAGCCGGACGGAGGAGGCCGGGGCCGGUCGAGCCCGGAAGGGGGGAGGGGAGCGCAGUCGGAGACCGAGGCUGAGACCUUUUCGGUUCCUUUCCCCUAAAUCGACUUCCAACCCUCGUUCCUGAGCGUGGGAGAACGCGGCAGACAGACAGAUGUCUCCCGCCCCUUAUCCUAUCCAGUUCCGCAAUUCACACUCGUUGCCAAAGAGUGGGGAGCGGGAAUGGAUACACCCGGGAACGACUGCACGUCCUGCGGGCGCCCGGGGAAGAAGGCAGCGCAGCACAAAACCUCUCCUGCGGUCACCUCCCACCCCAUCCUGCACCUGAGUUCUUGCGGGGAGGGGGUGCCCACAGCAGGUCGGGCCCAGAGGAUCCGGCAGGGGUCACUUUGAGGUGUACGGACUAGGAGUCUAUCCUCAGAACGCGUCAGCUCGACCCCAUCCCCGAUUAAUACCAGUGCGGGUCUCAGUCUCUUGUCCCUCGCGUCCCCCAGCCCUCUCCAAGGCCUCCAGAUUUAGCUCCCACUCUCCACGGGACGCAGGCCCGAGGACCCGGAAGAAGCUGAGUGGGGUCCGGUUUUCACACUUUUAUUGUAAAGCUCGGGAAUAAUUACACGGGUCUUUCAUUGACAGCUCAGCAAACAAACCGGAAACGAACCGAACCGGAGGGGGUAGGGGCGGUGCCUGCGCAUGCUCGCGGCGGGGUGGGGGGGGGUGGGGGUGGGGGUGGGGGGGUCAGAGAAAGAGAAAGACAGAAAGAGACAGAAAUCAUUACAAAUCAACGGGAUUGUGCUCGCAGCGCCAGGGAUGGGGUGGGGUGGGGCGGGGCGGGGGCCCUUCCCGGGAGGAGCGAGACUUUCUCAUGGCCAACACAAGCCCUCCCAACACCCGGAGACAGCCCCGACCCAGGGAAGAAAUGGCUCCAGAGGCCCUACCCUCGGGAGAGAGAGGUAUCCCAGGGCUCCUAGGAGAAAAGACAACUCAGAGAUGCCCAGCCUCAUCCUAAAGUGCUGCAGGGCAGAGAAACCCCCAUAGGAGAGAUGGGGGUAGGGCCAGAAACAUCCCUUCCCAGACGUGUUUCAGAGAUAGCCCCCUUCCCUGGGAAGAGAGAUGGCCCGAAACUGACUUGCCUUAAGUACUCCCAGGAACCCUGGGAGGAAAACAGGCUCCCCAGAGAGCCUGGGUAAUUGGGGGAGACAUGCUCCCGUGGUCCUCAGCGGGAACACAUGUCCCCCGGAGACUCCCAAGGGGAGAGAUAGGGCCUAGAGAGACCCCAGAGGUGAGGGAUGCCCAGAGAACUUCCCCCCACCCCGGAAUGUGAAACAUGCUUCAAGGACCCUAGGAGAGAAAUAUGUCCCCAUAUACCCUCCCCCUACGGAGAGACAUGCCCUGAAGUAGGGGGAUGGGGACCGACUAGGUCCCCUCUGGGAAGACACAGACUGGGUCAGGCUGGGUUUGAGGGGGGCUCUCCUCUGGCCAAAUGUCGCCUAUUGGUACAUAAAACUGUACGCGACACAGGCAUUGGGGAGGGGCUUCACAGACCUAGGACCCACAGGGAUAGUCCCCAGUGCUGUCGCCAACCCCUGCCCACCUUUGGUUUCAUCUCUCCAGUGCCCAGUUGGUGACAGACUCAGUGCCCUGGCCCCAACCAGGGGGCUGGGGGCUCUGUCUUUGCCUGUGGGAAGGGCUUCUCAGCUCUCCCAGCCAUCUGGGCCACCCUCUUUCUUCUGGCUUCUCCAUUGUGCAAAAUGCUCCUCUGCUCUUCUGCUCAGUGCUCAGGGGUCUCUAAGACCAGGGCAAGGUACCCAGGCCACUAGGGGCUUCCAGUGGGAGUCCACUGACCCCAGGAAUGCCGCCUGUCUGGACCACCUUCUCCACCAAGCAAAUGGGCCUCAUACAAUCUUCUUGCCCGAAUCCUGACCUCCAGGACCCAGGACAAUCCUUGAGGCCACUGUUCCACCAGCUGGGCACCCAAUACUACCAACUCCAAGACUAUUGCACCUGCCCCAUUUGUGCAGGGGAAAGGGGCUGUCUCUUUAACAAGCCCCAAGCCCAUCUCCUGGGCCUCCCCAAGGGAAAGGAGCCUUUGGCCAACCCCUAGACCUGGCUGCUGCCACCCCAUCCCAUUCUACCCCUUCCCCUCUGUAGAAGGGCUUCGUAUGCCAGGGCUACCAGCCUAACAAUGCUCUCCUUCCUAGCACUGUCACCCCAAGCCAAGUUGGGGGUAAGGGGCAGAUAAAUAGGGUGAUUCUUCAGGCCCCUGGCUUUUCCGGGGUGGGGGUGGGGUCUCUGGGGUACAAGAGUCAAGACCCCAGCAGCACAGCUCCCAAAGGCACCAGACGACCCCGCAGCCUGUACCCACCGCUCGCAAUCUUGGACCACCUCCCCAAGCUUAGACUAAGUCAAGCAAGGGCCAUACCCUGAGUCUCCAGCCUCCCAGCCUGGGCCCCUAGGGAGCUGGAGAGGUAUGGGCCAAGGCAGUGGGGGUUUCUGGAAGGAAGAGGGGCUGAGGCUUUGAGAUGGCCACAGUGGGAGACGGGGGCUCUGCAGGACGCCCCUUACACCCUGGCCCCCUGAGGUGAAGAAGAGAACUUCACCUCAUCAUGGCUGACUGGGCUUCUCUGCCCCCCAACCUCCCUACCCCCUCCCCCAUGGGACCCCUGACCCUGACAAAGGGAAGCCCAACUGGAAGAAGGGGGCCUGGAGCCCAGGGUGCCCUGAGGCAGCCCUCCCACCCCCUGAGAUCAAGGCAAUGGUGGUUUUACAGGCUGACGGGUCAGUCAUGGCAGGGGCUGGGGGUUGAGAGGGCAGGGAGGGGGCAGGAUGCAGGCCCCCUAUAUCGGGAGCAGCACCCAGCCACCCCCUGAGCAAACCUUCCUGCUCCCAACUCACCCAACCAGGCCAGAGGCACAGUCAUCCCACCCCUGUCCAGCUGCCCCCCACAGCCUCAGGGCCCCUCUGUGAUGCUCAUCUGGAUGUGGGAGGCCAGCCUGAGCGGGGAUCCCCCCAGGGCACAGCGCAACAGUUCCAAAAAAAUAGAGAUUUGUAUUUUUAAGAAAAAUUAAAUAAAAGCCCAGCUCUGCUGAUAGGCAAAUGUUACCCCCGUCCCCACCCCCACCCACCCGUUGUUUCCCUGGCCUGCACCCCCAUCCCACCAUGGCCCCAGGGGUAUUUACAACAUGGAACAAUAGAGGCCUGGGUUGGGGGGCACUGCGGCAGGGAGGAGGGGGCACAGGGCAGGUCCCCCCCCAGAGGGGUCCCCCAAGACAACACGACAUCAACAAGAAAAGUUGCAAAUCAGGCAGAAAUGGGGACGUCAUUCCAAGGUCCUUAUAUACAGACACUGCAUGACCAGCAGGGAAUGGGGGCCCAGAUGGGACUAGGCGUGGGCAUGUGGCAGGCAGGUGG